rnacentral:rRNA from 1 species
UAGUCCACGCAGUAAACGAUGAAUGUUAGUCGUCGGGUAGCUAGUCUAUUCGGUGAUGCAGCUAACGCAUUAAACAUUCCGCCUGGGGAGUACGGUCGCAAGAUUAAAACUCAGAGGAAUAGACGGGGACCCGCACAAGUGGUGGAGCAUGUGGUUUAAUUCGAAGAUACGCGAAGAACCUUACCUGGCCUUGACAUAUUUUAGAAUUCUUUAGAGAUAGAGAAGUGCCUUCGGGAGCUAAUAUACAGGUGCUGCACGGCUGUCGUCAGCUCGUGUCGUGAGAUGUUGGGUUAAGUCCCGCAACGAGCGCAACCCUCGUCACUAGUUACUAACGGUUCGGCCGAGGACUCUAGUGAGACUGCCUUCGCAAGGGAGGAGGAAGGGUGAGGGACGACGUCAAGUCAUCAUGGGCCCUUACGGGGCCAGGGGCAACACACGUGCUACAAUGGUUAGGACAAUGAGACGCGAUACCGG